AGCGAACAUUGGCGGUAGGCUUAACACAUGCAAGUCGAGCGAGGCUUCGAGCCGAGCGGCGAACGGGUGAGUAAUACUUGGGAAUCUACCCUGAAGUGGGGGAUAACGUCCAGAAAUGGACGCUGAUACCGCAUAAUCCACAUUGGGAAAGCGCGCUGCGCUUUAGGAUGAGCCCAAGCCUGAUUAGCUAGUUGGUGGGGUAAAGGCCCACCAAGGCGACGAUCAGUAGCUGGUCUGAGAGGAUGAUCAGCCACACUGGAACUGAGACACGGUCCAGACUCCUACGGGAGGCAGCAGUGGGGAAUCUUGCGCAAUGGGGGCAACCCUGACGCAGCCAUACCGCGUGUGCGAUGAAGGUCUUCGGAUUGUAAAGCACUUUCGGCGGGGACGACAAUGACGGUACCCGCAUAAGAAGUCACGGCUAACUUCGUGCCAGCAGCCGCGGUAA
rnacentral:rRNA from 1 species